AGCGAAGCCAUGAGAAAGAAAGCUGGUAAGUGGAAUUAUGGAGCAUUUGGCUAGAUGCCAUGGAAGUGCCUGGUAUUUAUAUAAACCUGUUUUUCUGUGACACAGGUAAAUUGGUUCGUGGGACUCGGAGGGAAGACUGUAGGGGCCACUACUCGUCGACUGCUGGAAGCUCUAAUGACCCAAAACGUUGUGGUGAAUUUCAGCUGGAAAGGGCAAAAGGGCAAGGCGAAAUUCCAACAACUGCAGUGUGUUGAGCUCAUUUACCAGGCUGUAAAAAGAAACCCCCGUAUCACAACGACACGUCACAACAUUGAAGAGGUAAUCAAGACGUGGCUAUGACACGCGGCGGAGAAGCUCAGGAAGCUUGAGGAAUCUGGUCUUGGCAACAUCCCCUAACUUUUUAUGAGCAUCUAUAUCCAUGUAUAGUGUGCAUCUUCUUUAAUUCAUGCUUAUUUUUUUCUUUUCAAG